rnacentral:piRNA from 1 species
UGGUUGCUGGGACUUGAACUCAGG